rnacentral:misc_RNA from 1 species
GAAAUGCGAUAAGUAACGUGAAUUGCAGAAUUCCGUGAAUCAUCGAAUCUUUGAACGCACAUUGCGCCCUCUGGCAUUCCGGGGGGCAUGCCUGUCCGAGCGUCAUUACGCACCCUCAAGCCCGGCUUGUGUGAUGGGCCCUGGCGUCUCGUUCGCGAGACGGGCCCGAAAGGCAGCGGCGGCGUCGACCCGAUGAGCCCGAGCGUAUGGGGACUUUUGUCACACGUUUGCGGUGCGGACCGGCGCCUGCUUGACUUUUCUGAUUAUCCAGGUUGACCUCGGAUCAGGUAGGGAUACCCGCUGAACUUAAGC